AGAGUUUGAUCAUGGCUCAGGACGAACGCUGGCGGCGUGCUUAACACAUGCAAGUCGAACGGAAGGGUCUCUUCGGAGAUGCUCGAGUGGCGAACGGGUGAGUAACACGUGGGUGAUCUGCCCUGCACUUCGGGAUAAGCUUGGGAAACUGGGUCUAAUACCGGAUAGGACCACAUGCUGCAUGGUGUGUGGUGGAAAGUUUGUAAUGGUGUGGGAUGGGCCCGCGGCCUAUCAGCUUGUUGGUGGGGUGAUGGCCUACCAAGGCGACGACGGGUAGCCGGCCUGAGAGGGUGUCCGGCCACACUGGGACUGAGAUACGGCCCAGACUCCUACGGGAGGCAGCAGUGGGGAAUAUUGCACAAUGGGCGCAAGCCUGAUGCAGCGACGCCGCGUGGGGGAUGACGGCCUUCGGGUUGUAAACCUCUUUCACCAUCGACGAAGGCCUGCUUUUGGGUGGGUUGACGGUAGGUGGAGAAGAAGCACCGGCCAACUACGUGCCAGCAGCCGCGGUAAUACGUAGGGUGCGAGCGUUGUCCGGAAUUACUGGGCGUAAAGAGCUCGUAGGUGGUUUGUCGCGUUGUUCGUGAAAUUCCCUGGCUUAACUGGGGGGCGUGCGGGCGAUACGGGCAGACUGGAGUACUGCAGGGGAGACUGGAAUUCCUGGUGUAGCGGUGGAAUGCGCAGAUAUCAGGAGGAACACCGGUGGCGAAGGCGGGUCUCUGGGCAGUAACUGACGCUGAGGAGCGAAAGCGUGGGGAGCGAACAGGAUUAGAUACCCCAGUAGUCC
rnacentral:rRNA from 1 species